rnacentral:rRNA from 1 species
GAUUCUGGCUCAGGAUGAACGCUAGCGACAGGCUUAACACAUGCAAGUCGAGGGGCAGCAUGAUUUGUAGCAAUACAGAUUGAUGGCGACCGGCGCACGGGUGAGUAACGCGUAUGCAACUUACCUAGUCAGAGGGGGAUAAGCCCGGCGAAAGUCGGAUUAAUACCCCAUAAAACAGGGGUCCCGCAUGGGAAUAUUUGUUAAAGAUUCAUCGCUGAUAGAUAGGCAUGCGUU